GUCAUAUGCUUGUCUCAAAGAUUAAGCCAUGCAUGUCUCAGUACAAGCCAAAUUAAGGUGAAACCGCGAAAGGCUCAUUAAAUCAGUUAUGGUUCCUUAGAUCGUACCCACAAUUACUUGGAUAACUGUGGUAAUUCUAGAGCUAAUACAUGCAAACAGAGCUCCGACCGGAAACGGGAGGAGUGCUUUUAUUAGAUCAAAACCAAUCGGUGGCGGGCUCGCUCGUCAUCGUACAACUUGGUGACUCUGAAUAAC
rnacentral:rRNA from 1 species